rnacentral:rRNA from 1 species
AUCGAAGGUGGUUUAGUAAGUCUGAUAUUAAAUACCCACGGCUCAACCGGGGUGCUGUGUUGGAAACUGCUAAACUAGAGGAAGACAGAGGUAGCUGGAAUUCUUGUUGUAGGGGUUAAAUCCGUAGAUAACAAGAGGAACACCGAAAGCGAAGGCAUGCUACUGGGUCUUUCCUGACACUGCGCGAUCGAAAGCGUGGGGAGCGAAAG